CUCCCUUUUAUCCCGCCUUUAUUAGUGAGUGACAGCUCAUCCUAGCUCUGCUUCAAAAUAAUAUUAGAAUUUCUGGUCUCCCAUACUUAUCUAUUCCCCCAUCAGAAGGCGUGGAGCUGCUAUUUUAUCCUAGCACUUCCCCUCAUGUGUUUCUCCCUCUGCGGCUCUGGUAGGCUCAUUUAUUAGGAAACUACAGUGUGAGGGAGGGUCUUCAUGGUGAUGUGACUGAAGAUGUGGUUUGGGUAUCUUUGGUAUCUAUUCAGUGAAAAUGGAGGUAAUGAACCAGUAAGUCUCGUGCAGCUUUGAUACGUAUCACAUGAGUGUCAAGAUGACUGUGCUAAGUCCGGGGAGCCUAGUGCUCUACUUGAUCCUUCCUCUUCUCAAGGUGUAUCCCACUAUUACCAGCUGUGACGAGAGCACCUCAGCAGUAUACGAACCUUCUCGCGUAAGCAGCCGUCACUGGUUGGUCUUGAGAGAUGAAACGCACAAAGAUACCUUAAAAUACUAAACAGGAAAAAGAAAAACAAAAAACUAGUCCCAGCAUGAUGGUGCAUGUCUUUAAUCCCAGCACCUGGGAGGUACAGGUAGGCGGAUCUCUUGAGAGAUCUGGUCUAUGUAGUGAGAUCCUAUCUAAAAAGAAAUUACAGAUUUGAUCAUAAUUUUGCUCAGAAUUAUGUUUUUAAAAGGUAACAUACUCCACAUACAAAAAUGUUGCCGUUUCAGAUAACAAAGUCAUAUUGUAGGAUCAAGGGAACUAACAAUUUCAUUCUAAACUUGAUAAUGUAGGCCUUUAAUCCCAGCUACUUGAGAGGCUGAGGCAGGAGGAUCAUGACUUGUAGGCCCGUUUGAGCUGCAGGAUGAAUUUCAAGACCAGCCUGGGCAAUGAAAUGGGAUCCUGUCCAUAGGGAGCUGGGAAUGGAGCUCAGUAGUAGAGAGCUUGGUUAGGAUGUAUGAGGCCCUGGGUACCAUUCCCAAAGCUACUCACACUCCUGCAUCCCCCAACACACAUGCACACACACACCAUGCACACACACCAUGUACACACUUCACACGUGCUGCUAGGCUGUUGACUUUGCAGACUAUGGUCAUAGAAGACAUCUCAAAGAUCUUCCCCUCUUCCCAUGCCACUGAUACUAAGUUUGGGUUUCCAGUAAUCAACCACACACCACAAACCAGCCAGUGACUGUCAGCCGAGGCAGUAUCUCUCCAAGCUCUGCUCUGUGCCCCACAGAAAGGUCACUUGUCUAGAGGCUGCAAAAUCGGAGAAUGUGGCUUUAUUAACUAAUGUUUCCAGUCUUUUCUGUCAAAGAAAAACAUGCUCUGGAGAAUUAGAAAAACCGAGGUCUAUAAGAACCAGUAUUUUUGUUUGCUUUUUUUUUUUCUUUUUAAACACUUAGAACAGUGUUAGAUUUCAGUUUAACUUUUAAAUGCUAAAUCUAAGGAGAGACAUACCAAAAUGCGAUUUCAGUCUAUGUGCUAGGGUGGUGAAUUUUUUUCCCUUUCCUAAAUGUUUGUAAAGUGCUUAUAUUUUAUAAUGAAAGCAAUAAAUCUGAAUGUUGAAUUUA
rnacentral:lncRNA from 1 species